AGUGCUGGGAUUACAGGCAUGAGCCACCGCGCCCGGCCAGCCUCAUUCUUUUUAACUCUUGCAUAGUAUUCUAUGGUAGAAAUGGAACACCAUUAACCAUUUCCCUCUUGACGAACCUUUAGGUUGUUUUCAGUUUUUGGCUAUUACUAAAAUGCUGUCUUGAAAUCCUUGUAGAUGUCUUUUUGUGCAUGUAGUAGUUAUAUAAUUUUUACUUCAGUAUAUAUGCAUUUUAUUUUUUAUUAUCUUUUAUGGAGACAGGGUCUCACUUCCUUGCCCGGGCUGGAGUGCAGUGCUGUGAUCAUGGCUCACUGCAUCCUCCUCCUUUUGGGCUCAAGUGAUCCUCCCACCUCAGCCUCAUGAGUAGCCGGGACCACAGGCAUGUGCCACCAUGUCUGGCUAAUUUUUUGUAGAGAUGGUGUUUCACUCUAUUGCCCAGGCUGAUCUCAAACUCCUGGACUCACGUGAUCUGCCCACCUCAGCCUCCCAAAGUGUUGGGAUUACAGGCAUGAGCCACCAUGCCUGGCCAAUGAUGUUUUUAAAUGCUGCUAAUAAUAACGUACAAAAUUCAGAAAAUAUAGAUAAAUAAAAAUAGGAAACAAAAACCACCAUAUACCACGGCCUAGAGACAAUCGGAGGUCCCUUCAAUACCUACACUGGAGGAGGAAAGAAGCCCCCUCCCCCGGAGAAUCUUCCACCCAUUGCAGGGGUCUGCUGUGAUUUGGGCUCUGUUCUGCUGACAAGGUGGAGCCUGUCAUCUAUCCCAGACAGAAUUAUUGCCUCAGAUUACAUGGUUGAUUAUCAAUUACUUGUGUUCGUAUGAGAGCAUGUGUGCGUGUGUGCAUAAGUGUCUUUGCAAAUCAUUAAGGGUCGUAAUUCUGGAUUAUCAUUGAUUAACGUGAGGGAGGCCUGGUACCUCCAGCAGCCGGGAUGGCAGGCCCGCAAUUAUGUCCCAGCUGAUCAGUAAUUGGCGUAUCACAAGAUGAUUUCUCUCUCGGCUGCCUACCCCCAGCCUCUCCUGUCGGCUUCACAAUUAGCACCAUUGCUCAUUCCCUUCCAGCUCAGGCCAAAUGCAGAAGCCUGCUUUCUGGCAAGGGGAAGCCGUGGGGCUGUCUUGAAGACCACCACCCAAAUAGAGUGGGGAUGGUGGUGUGGGGUCGGUGGCAGAGGCACAAUGCGGGGGAGUGGUGCCGGCUUGAACUCUAGCUUCCUGAUGUCUGGUGCUGCCUUUGUGUCUUAUCCUGCUUCCCAGCAAGCUCAGGCACCAUUGACCCACCCUCAUUGCAUGGAUGGGGAAACUGAGAACCAGAGAAGGAAUAUGGCAAAUUAGAAAAAAAAAAAACAUCCAAAAGCAAUAAUUCAGGGCAACAUGGCCACACGGGUCCAAGCCCAAAGAGCCCAGGAGGAAGCAGAGCUAUAGAAGGAGCACCCCGACCAUCACUCCUAUCCUCGGGAAGCUGUCAGGUCGCCACUGGUUGUGUCAGUUUCCUUGAGCAACACAAGCUUUUAGCCUCCAGAGAUUGCACAUAGAUGCACAGAGCUCCCCGGGGUGGGGAGGAAGCGUACUGAGGAAUGUGCAGGUGUACUCCCUGCUGGAUUAUGAAAACGGCUUCCUCAUGGUUCUCCCCACUUCCAGACUGGGCCCCCAAUCUAUCCUCCUGUCCAGCCUGCACAACGAACUCCCUGUUGCUCUCAGUUCAGGUCUUCUCGUGCCCUCUUUUGCCCUAGCCUGGUUGAUCCAUCACAGACCCCUCCUUGUCCUGGCUCCCUUAUCUCCUGUCCUUUGCCCAAUCUGAUCCCUCCCCCUAAAGCCCCUGUCCCCUCCUCCCACACUCUUUUGGCUUGGAGCACACACCCUUGGGGGAGGUUUUAAUACAGGUGCCCCCACUUGGGCUCCACUCCUGAGAAAGGAAUUCUGACCUCCCUAGGAACCAGCAGAUACAGAAGCAAAAACUUUAGGGAUGGCUUUGGAGGCGUGUGAAAGGAUGGAGAAGGCAGGGCUGUUCCAGAAACCUUCCACAUAAAAGACUCUCCCAUGGCUGCAAAGCCACCAGGCAGUUUGUUUCUGAGCCUUGCAGCUGUCUUGGCCAUUUUCAUUUUUAUCUACUUAGGUUGGUCAGCGGGUCAUGGCAAGCAGGAGACACAAUGCUAAUGACUCCGGCUCCACGUGGCGACCAUUCAGGAAAAAGCUGCAAUGUUCUCUCUGCCACAUUAAUCAGAGAAACACAUCAAGAGUUGUUGCGUGGAGACAGCUUUCCUCCCAGUACUCGCCCUGCAUACUAAUCACCACCCCCUCCUGAGAUGCGGUUUCACUCUGUUGCCCAGGCUAGAGUGCACUAAUACAAUCAUAGCUUACUGCACCCUCAACCUCCUGGGCUCAAGCAAUCCUCCUGCCUCAGCCUCAUGAGUAGCUGGGACUACAGGCACCACUGUGGACCCCUGCUCUGCACCCCCAGGAGGAGUGGGACUGCUUCAAGGGCAGCCUGGAGGAAAGAGGUGUGGUGUGAACACAUACAACAUGUUCCUUAACCAGGAAGGCGACUGGAGUCUUUACCUGGUUUCAAAGCAGCCAAGCCUAGAGGCCCCCACCCCUUGUUCUUUAUUAUGAUUGCCCUUUGACCCCAACCCCCCAAUUCUUUCCUCUCCAGAUCCCCAGCCAUGCAUACUCCAACUUGGUUCUGCAAAGAAUACCCAGCCACAGCUGUGAACUUGGGGAAACACAUUUUUUCUUUUUCUUUUCUUUUCUUUUUUUUUUUUUUUUGAGAGGGAGUCUCACUCUGUUGCCCAGGCUGAGGUACAGUGGCGUGAUCUUGACUCACUGCAACCUCCACCUCCCAGGUUCAAGCAAUUCUUCUGCCUAAGCCUCCUGAGUAGCUAGGACUACAGGCAUGUGCCACCACCCCCAGCUAAUUUUUGUAUUUUUAGUAGAGAUGGGGUUUCACCAUGCUGGCCAGGCUGGGCUUGAACUCCUGGCCUCAAGCAGUCCUCUCACCUUGCCUCCCAAGGUGCUAGGAUUAUAGGCUUGAGCCACCAUGCAUGUGCACGGCCAGCACAUUCAUUUUCUAUACAUAACUGUCUCCCAGCUCUUCAGGCCAACUUACCUGAUAAUGAUAAAAAUAACUAAGCUGCCAUGGAUUGGGCAGUGUGCCAAGUGCUCCAUGUAUAUUACCUUACUUAGUUUUCACAAACUCUAUGAGGUAGGUACCACUAUUAUUUACAGGUGAGGAAAUGGAGGCUCAGAGAGGUUAAGUGAAUUGAUCCAGGCCACACAGCUGGUAAGCGCCAGAGCCACUAGUGGACGCCAGGUCCAGCCAGCCCCCAGAGCCCAUGUGCUGAGCCACUGUGCUAUACUGACUCCCACUUAAUUCUCUCUUCUGGGUUGUCCCAAAGACCAAGUUCGGCUGGCCAAUUUUCCAGGACCAUCUCUCAUGGCACCUGGAGGCUUGUAGGUUCCUGGAGGACUCUCACACCUCCUUCCCACCCUUCUCCAGAUUCUCCAACUCCCUCUUGAGCAGACCCGGCCCCACUCUGGGGCACCCUGCCUUCCUGGGACCUGUCGUAACAGUCACCCACUCUGCCAGGGCCUGGCUGACCCAGGCUGGGGACCGUGGGACCCCUCUGGGCAGUGCCCCCCUACCUGGGCCCAGGUGGGUAUGGAUUUCUUUCUUCUGGGCCAUUGCACCCGCCAGAAGGUGCGGUGGGAGAGGCAGGCCCACAUUUCAGAGGGCCUUGCUGCCCCCAUGUGGCAUGAGGCUGUAGCGGCUGCAGCCUCCUCUUCCCUCCCUCCUGCCACUGCUCCCGAAGCCAAGGCUUUUGCAGGGUUGAAAAGGAAGAGAAAGAGGAGAAGCAGGAAUGUGAGAGAAAUGAGGCAGAGGGAUGGGCUAGGGAAGAGAGAAGCCCUUCUGCGUUACCUGGAAAUGCAGCAACAAUAAUAACAAAGCCAAUGUUAGGAAUGUUUAAAGGCAGCUGCCACAUAGCACUUUUUAUAGCUUGUAGACUCUCUCAUUUAAUCCUGGCACUUACAUCAAUCUGAUUAGUAGCUAUUAUUAGUUUUAUAGGUGAUGAUCCAAGGCGCAAUUAUUUGUUCCCCAGCUAGUAGGUGACAGAGCCCAGAUUGAAUCUGACUCCAGAACCCUAACCACGAUAUUCCCCUGUCUAGAAGGAGCCAGUUCUCUCCUGCAACCCCCACUGCUCAGCCUCUAGGAGUUCCAGCCACCAGCCACCUGCACCCUCCCUUCCAUGUGGCUUUGCCCUCUGUUCUUCUCCUCUCCACUCUCUCUCCAAGGUCCAAGUGGUCAAGGUCAUCCCAAGGGUCUGCUGGGACCGUGUGUCCUUAUUCUGUGCCUUGCUGGUCGCCAACCUUCCCCAUCUGCCAAGGACUGAUGUCCAGCCCAGGCCCAGGUGCAGGUGCCCAGGUCAUUUUUGCCACUGAGUAAAGGGAGACAGAAUGACAGGGUAAAUUACCAACCACCAGAACACCAUGGAGCCAAUAGCAUCAAUGCAAGUGAAGUAUAUUUAUCUGUUGGCCUGAAAACAUGUCCUAGUAUAUUGUCCCAUUAAGCAAAAAGCAGGUUAUAAAGCUGUGUACAUUAA
rnacentral:lncRNA from 1 species